GAUAGUCACACAGAGAGAGAGAGAGAGAGGCAGAGACACAGGCAGAGGGAGAAGCAGGCUCCAUGCACCGGGAGCCCGACGUGGGAUUCGAUCCCAGGUCUCCAGGAUCGCGCCCUGAGCCAAAGGCAGGCGCCAAACUGCUGCGCCACCCAGGGAUCCCUUGAUUUCUAAUUCUGAAAGGCACAUGAAAUCAUACAAAAGGCUAUUAUCCAGUGAAUGAAAUGUUAAGUUUCUCUCCCAUCCUGGUUCCCUCACUCCUCAUUUCCAGGACUGCCAUGUAAGAUCAUCCAAGUUGUUUACUGCACAAUGGCAUGUGGCUGAGGAAGUGAGCAGAAGUUAUAAUCGAGCUUGGGUUCUGCUGGAUAAGCCACAACUCAUGGCUCUGAGGAAACCAUCUUUUUCAUCUAAACCACAUGAAAAUACUAUGUAAGGAAGUGCCAGCCUUACCCUUCUCCCCUCCACAAAGGCUACCACUAUGUCUAGUGUUUUGUAUGCCCCUCCAGACAUAGUCUAUGUUAUCGAAACAGAUAUAUCACGCUGUAUGGAUGAAACAGUUAUUUAAAAAGAAUAAAGAAAUACCAGGAAAAGCAAAAAGCAAUACAAGAUAAUCAGAAUCCAAAUGCUUCUAGAGGAGUCAUUCAAGGUAAAAUAGGAUUAAAAGGAGGAGGGGGAAAAAAAGCCUAUUUGUAACAAACAAGUCUUAAGGGAAGAAUCCUAAGUGCAAGGAUUGUUGGAUUGUUUUCCAUCCGAGCAGUCUCCAAUUCAAGUAUGCUGUUUAAGCAGCAAAUGAAAUUGAUUAAAAUGCAAUUGCCAAGUGGGUUGAUAUUUGGUACUUAUUCACCACGCUUCCCACAGCUUAGAAGAGUAUGGUGGUAUGUGCGUGGUCCAGCUUCCACCAUAGGAUUUUCAUCUGCUGAGAAACCUAGAAAUGAGUGUCCCACAUGAAGCCUGGUACUUCCAUUUCCUUCACUCUAGUGUCCUCGAAAACAAAGAGAAUUGCUUACACGGAAACCUAGAGCACUCUGUUAAUCUAUAGUCUAACAUUUCUGUAUUUAUCCAACUUGGGCUAAAAUUUCUAUUUAGGGAAAAUGAUAGUUAAAUAAGUAAAUAAUUCAAAUUAUGAGAUCUGAUUGCAAGGAUUGUUCUAUCACUCUGAGUAACCUUUUAGGCCUUUGCCUAUGUUUCUGUUCCAUGCUUUGCCUCAUCACAGAAGGCAACACUGGUCUUCUUUUGGGUUCCAACUUCUUUGCCCCACGCUGUUCAUCAGCUGUUCCUUCAGCUCUGAACACUUCUCUACCCCAAAAUUUCAUCCAGUGAACUCCUGUUUAUCUUUCCAGAUUUAGCCUGGAUGUUUUCUAAAAAUAUUGUUUAAAGAUUUUUUAAAAAUUUAUUCAUGAGAGACGCAGAGAGAGAGAGGCAGACACACAGGUAGAGGGAGAAGCAGGCUCCUUGCAGGGAGCCCAAUGUGGGAUUAGAUCCUUGGACCCCGGGAUCAUGCUCUGAGCCAAAGACAGACACUCAACUGCUGAGCCACCCACACAUCCCCAGACUUAGCUUGAAUGUCGAUCCCUCAAAGCAGGUGAGUGUCCCAUCACAGCAGCUUGAUCUCCCCCCCCAGACCAUAUGCUCCAUGAGUGCCUGCUUUGUCACCACUGCACUGCCAUUGCUUAGCACCCGGCUCAUAGUAGUUAUUCAAUAAACCUGACAAGUGAGUCGAUGGAAAUGCAAAAGCUACCCAUGAUCCUAGGAGAGCCUCACUCAUUUAAACAAAUUGAGUGACAUGUAAAAGAAAGCUUAGGGGGCACUUGGGUGGCUCAAUCGGUUAAGUGUCUGCCUUUGGCUCAGGUCAUGAUCCCAGGGUCCUGGAAUUGAGCCCCACAUUGGGCUCCCUGCUCCACGAGGAGCCCGCUUCUCCCUCUUCCUCUGCUGUUCCCCCUGCUUGUGCUCUCUGGCUCUCUCUUUCUCUCACUCUCUCUGUGUCGAAUAAAUAAAUAAAAUCUUUUUAAAAAAAUAAAAGAAAGCUUAGAAUUAAUAGAGAGCCAAGAAUGAUAAGGCUUGGAACCUACUCCUUAGGACUAGAAGUGUCGUCCAAGGAAGAAAUGGGGAGAAAAUGAAGCUGGUACUGGAUUAGGGCAAUUGUCAGAUGAAAAACAAGACUGGGAAAAAAUGGUUGGGACCUAGGAAGGUGAUCAGAUGACUUAAGCAUGAGAUAUUCCUACCAGAGCAGAGGACACUGUGUGCUAAGAAGGUGAUAUGUUGAACCAUCUUAAUUUUAAUUUUACCUGAUUCAAAUAGGUCUUGACAGUAGCAAUGGGAUUAUCCAAGACAUAUUUGUCCUCCUAAGUGGCUUAUUCUUUAAAGCCUCUUUCAAGAGUGCUUUGGGAAGUUCAGAAACUAGUUCUGUUUUGAUUACUUCAAGUUAUGCUAGGAGCAGGAUAAGAAGACUUGAACACAUUUGCCUUGUGGAUUUGUCCUCUGUUUCUAUUUCUAAAACAGAAUACCUAAGUCUGUUAAAUGAUUAACUACAAGAGUGCUGAGAAUGUCAACAGUUACCCGCAUUCGUUUUGAAUGUCAUUUUCCAUAAAUGCCACGAUAUAGUUUCAGAGAUGAUGAAGAAUUGAAGUAAGUAAUUUACUUACUUACAAGUAAUUUAUUUAUUUAUUUAGAAAUAAAUGAAAUGCAAACAUUAUAUUUACAUGAUAAAGCACAACUACCAAAAACACUGGAUUAUGUUCAAGCUGGAGAAGAACUUUUCCAAGGCCCACAAUCAUUGAAAUAUAGUUGUGUAGAAAGGAAAGCAUCCAGAUUAAUUUAAUUUCUUUUUACAACAGUGAAAAUGUAUGCAGACUGGCUCUCUUCAACUAUUCCAUUCAAGUAAAUUACAGGGCAAAGGGAAGGGAAUAUGAAGCUUCAGGGCCAGGGUGGUCCCAAAGCAAUUUUAGCAAUGAGGAAUUGAAUUCACCGAUUUUAUCUUAAAGAUUCAGGUGGAUUUUGUAUUUUUUUCCAUAAUAUAUCUUUGAUUUUCCUUCUAAAAAUACACUAAGUAAAACUGAUGGUACAGGAAGAUGCACCAUGUUUAUUUUUGGUUUCCCAUAAUCUCUUAGGGCACCUCCUAAUACCCUGAGGAGGAGAGGGCAUUAGCCCAGUGUAAGAAGUACAGAGGUAGACAUUAGGGGAAAUAAUCAUAUAAUCUAUGCAAACUUCAGAAAAGCUCGUAACUUGUUAAAAAAAAAAAAAGCUUUUUUUUCCAUCAACAAAUGAUUAAACAUGGUAAUCUGGAACACCUGGGUGGCACAGUUGGUUAAAUGCCUGACUCUAGAUUUCAGCUCAGGUCAUGAUCUCCGAGUCCUGAGAUCGAGCUCUGCCUAGGGCUCUGUGCUUGGCUUAAGAGUCUGCUUGAGCUUGAGUUUCUCUCUCCUUCUUCCUCUGCCCCUACCUGCCAUAUUCUCUUUCUCUCUAAAAUAGACAAAUUCUUAACAAAAAAAUAAAUAUGGUAAUCUAUGUGUAGACAAUUCUUCUGGAAUCUCAGAGAUUCCUAUCAUAGCACAUACCACACUAGAGUGUGGUAUUUCUCAUUUCUUAUGCCUAUCCAACUGCUGUGGUCCUUGGGCAAUUACCCAACAUCCAUUCUACCAAAAAUAAAGAGCUUAAACUAAUUAUGGUAAUCCCAUCCUCUUUCCCAUGUGAUUAGUUUAGGAAGGGCAUCCAAUACAGUCUUGGUCAUUAAAACCCAAGGGGAAGUCUCCUUAUGGGGCUUCUGGGAAACUUUUUAUAGAACUGGUUGAGCCACUUUUCCACUAGCUGAUGAUGAAGCCAGACAGAGACUCCAUUUAAGCAAGACAAUUACCAACUAGGCAAACUGGAGUCUUCAAGCAUUGUGUGGGAUGCCCAUUUCUGUGAGAUAAUAUUGUUUCCUGAUUAAUUAAGCCAAUUAAUGUGUGACUUCUCUUUUACUCAAGGAGACCUUUAACAGUAUACUUUACAUUAGACUGGAACUUUGUCAAGGGCAGGGUGUAUGAUUGAUUGGUUUAUUUUUUAUUUUAUUUUAUUUAAAUUCAAUUAAUUAACAUUUGGUAUAUUAUUAGUUUCAGAGGUAGAGUGCAGUGAUUCAUCAGUUGCAUAUAACACCCAGUGCUCAUUAUAUCACCUGAGGAUUUAUGAUUGAUUAUCUUUGUAUUCCAGAGUCUAACACAGCAUCCUAUAGAUAGUAAGGGUCUAAUUAAUAUAUGUAGAACUAAAUUGAACCAAUUAUCAA
rnacentral:lncRNA from 1 species